rfam:Ophiophagus hannah scaffold3245.1, whole genome shotgun sequence.
GAAUAUAAAGAUGAUCUGCCUAACACAUCUGCCACCCCGUUGAUCAUCAGGGACAAUUCAGAUAAACUGGCCAGCUAGGUGGGUAUCCCCUUCCUUCUUCCCCAGUCAUGUUCAUCUAUCCUGAACCUUUAUACUUGGUAGAAGAGGACAAUUAUUUCACAUAGGAAUUUACUUUUUUUCCGUCAAGGAAGAUGCCUUCCCUCAUUUCGUCCUUGACUGUCAGGUCCAGGGACAGAAAUAGGAGAUGAAACCUGUGAGAAUUUGAAAAGUAAUUAUCACGGUGAAAUGAAACUAGAU